UCGUUGUUGUUCGGCUAAACAUCUUUACUUCUAAAUAAGUAAACGGGUAUAGGGGGAUAACGCAGUCAAGUUAUAUAUUUUGCAACAACGUGACGUCUUUGUCUGUUUUAGGCACUGAAAAAGAAACCGUUUCAGAACUUUUGACUGACAGAGUCAAGUUUUAAAUAGGAAAAACGUCUGUUCGAACGCGAUGCUACUGGUCUAAUUGGAUUCAGUGAUCUAUGCUAAGCUAUGCUAAAGGUGUUAUCGCCAGACCCGGAGACCGGCUGAAUAGAUUCUGGAAUCUAGGUAGAACUCAAUUUAUUAACUCUAGAGGAGUUGGGAGAUGAGCACAUUUCCCCCCAAAAGUGAAGUGUUCCUAUAAUAGCCGGAGUUUUUGUUCAGGAUUCUUGGAGGCCGGGUGCUUGCUGAGAGGUUUUGGGGAUUGUAGAUGCGUCACGCUGCAGGCGCAUAAGAGAAUGCCCCCGAAUAAACAGAACAGAGAUGCGACAAACGCACCGAUCAGAGACCUGCCGACCACAAACCUGCAGAGACCCAACGCAGACGGUCAGUACUGAGAUUCCAAAGGACUUCACUGAAUCAGCGAAUCUAACGACUAUUAGAAACGAAAAACUCACCGGCGCACACAGAGAGCAUUCCUCCCAGGAAGGCGGCUCUGUCCUUCGACUUCUUGUUCUCUUCUAAACACCUCGUGCAUCUGAGACCGGAAAUGGCCACCAGCGCGGCGAAGCUUGACAAGAG